ensembl:lncRNA
GUAAAGCUCCCAUCCCAUCACUGUGAGGGACAGAACUGAGACCCCUCCUCGCUCCUCAUUAAAACCUCAUCAGCUCCAGCUCGUUAGCUCCUGGGAGUUAAACUGACGGUGGGAGGAAGCAGCUGAGAGCCCAUAGGUGUGGGGUGGGAUGAUGGGUGUAGGGAAGAGUGGAGCAGGAAGGAUUUCCUGCAGUGCAGCAAUGAGGUGGGCACAGGGGGUGUUAUUCCGCUCUAUCCCUUCUAUCUGGGGUGCCAUCUGCAAACCCAGAAUGAAGACUGCACUCUUCCAUUAACAGCGCAUGUAACGUUGCUAUUCUAUAAUGUUUUCUCUCACCUUAUCUCAGACCUUUAUGCUUAACAAGUAGCUCUGAAACAGAUCUGGCAUCGCAUCUUUGAGGCAACUUGCAUUUAAAUCAACGUCCGACGCCUCUGCUUCCAUGGAUCAAGAUUAAUUCCCGUCUCCAGCUCCAGAAUCUCAUCUUUAGCAGCACAGAUAACAGCAAUGACUCGAGGCUCUUCCCAGAAGCAUAACUGCAUUAUGAAGCGGCGGAGCUGAUGACGAACAUCUGUGCACCCUGAGGAACUCGUCCUUCAGACGGGCAGGGACUGACGUGUGGGGCAGCACCGGGUCCUGGCAGUUUGGGAUUUACAGACCUGGGGGUUUGCAGUCACUUUUCAGGGGACCAUUUUCCUGGAUGGAGCCCUCAGCUCUCUCAGAGCCACAGCUCCGGGCUGAGUUCCUUCCAUGCAGAUUCUGGAGCUGCUCCUCACCCUGAGCGUGACCAAGACCUUAACUUGCUGGGGGUCAAAGUGGGGGUUCUCACAUCACGGUGCAGCCUCCCCAUUGGCAUCUCCAACAGCUCCAAGCUGCCUCCUGUGGCUCCCUGAUGGUGGCAUCAUUGUGUGGUGUUUUGUGCCCUUCUGUAGGGCCUGGAUGAAAAUAUCAGUCCGCAGCUUGCAGAGUUACUAGAAGCACCAGCUCUGACAGCGCUCUGCAUCAAGAAGGGCUAUAAAUUCAUUUGGCAUAAAAUUGUAACAGCCAUCCAGAAUUUGCCAGAAGGAAGAAAACCAACCCAGUUCCUCCUGCUCUGAGAGCAAGUCCAAUAAAUUUAAUUUAAAAACUGUGAG